UACGUAGGGUGCGAGCGUUGUCCGGAAUUACUGGGCGUAAAGAGCUCGUAGGUGGUUUGUCGCGUUGUUCGUGAAAACUCACAGCUCAACUGUGGGCGUGCGGGCGAUACGGGCAGACUGGAGUACUGCAGGGGAGACUGGAAUUCCUGGUGUAGCGGUGGAAUGCGCAGAUAUCAGGAGGAACACCGGUGGCGAAGGCGGGUCUCUGGGCAGUAACUGACGCUGAGGAGCGAAAGCCAGGGGAGCGAACGGG
rnacentral:rRNA from 1 species